rnacentral:pre_miRNA from 1 species
AGUGCAAUUGAUGGGUCGUAUAGUAAGAGAAUGUUUAGCUUUGUAAGAAUUUGCCAAACUGUCUACUAAAGGAACUCUGUCAUUCUGCAUUCCCACUAACAAU